GGGAAACUUGCAUGAUCGGUACGGCCACAUUGUUGCCUUAUCUGCCAAAUUCCUCUGCCUCAAGUUGGAAUUUCAUACAAAGCACAAAGUGAUCCCGGGCAACCUGGAGGCCAGUGACGAGACUCUGGAGAGGGAAGCGGGAAACGACAUGACCAAAGUGUUAGAUAUGACGCAGGAGCUGAUGGAUUAUUUGGAGGCUGGACUGAAGAUGGAGGAGACAGUUUUGCGUCAGCUUGAUGCCAACGGGGCUAAAUCUACCACUCCAGCCGGACAGUGCAGACUGGCUCCUCUGAUCCCCCUCAUACUGGACUGCAGCUUCCUCUACCACUUCUCCGUCCUGCUCAUGUUCAAACUUCA